UACACAUGGCCCUGUGCGUUGUGGAUUAUCAUGCCUGCCUACCUGUCAUUAAUUAGCCAUGGAUAUCAGGCGAUUUUUGAAGAGACCUUCGAGUGCUCCCACUCCAACAGAUGCCCGAAAAAGGCCUCAAGUACAAAAGUCUACUCAGACGCUUCAUAAAGAGAGAAGUACUACACGAUAUCACUGCCCUGCAGCUGACCAAACUGGAUGUCACAGACAAGACCAUCUGGCUCAGCCCACAAGACAUCAGCAUUGGUCUAGGUGCAGAGUUAGUCCUUUAGGUAGUGUGAUGUUUUCAAAAGAUAAUUGUACAAAUGGUUAGGGUGAACCAGGUGUCAUUGAAGACAUGUUCUAUAUUCAUGGCUAAUUUCUCUCUCUAGAGAAUCAAAGGUGCAGAGCUCAGGGUGCUCGAGUUCAAGAGAGAGUGCUUGCAGUGACUGAGUAACAUGAUCAAGAAAGUGCAGGACAAGAGCCCCCUCAUGUAUCUGACUGUUAGGCAGAUGGUGUGCCUGGAUCCGUCAGUAAUAUAUAGAGAACCAGAAAGAGGCAGGAAUCACAUGAAAGGGCUGGUUCAAAGGUUUCUCCAGGACAGACAGCUUACUGAUACUUCUUCGGGGGAUGUCAUACUGCAGCAGUUCGACAGUCUCCUGUCCUUGGAGAGCCGGAGUGAGGACUUCCUCUCCUUUCAACCCAUGCAGAAGAGGCUGGACAUCUUCCUGAGCAGCGCCAUGGAGCCUUAUCCCGAGCUGUGGGCCUUCUGCAAGAAGCUGCUCAUCCUCUCCCACGGUCAAGCUAGUUGAGCGUGGAUUCUCAAUCAAUAAAGAGGUGGAGUCUGAUAACUUGGCGGAGGAUACUGUGGUCACACGGAGACUGGUGUGUGACUACAUCAUACAACGUGGAGGCGUUACCAAGGCAAAAUGACUCCUGUCUGGAGUAGUAAUAUGCUGUUGACUUAAAAGUUGAUAGAAUCAACAUAGUUGGUCUCUUGAGUUUGUCACUGAAUCUGGUUCUCUUUCCCCAACCCGAUACCCAGGUUCCAUUCAGUAAACCGCUACUGGAAAGUGUAGCAAGGGCAAGGACAAGGUAUCGUACCCAUCUGGAGACCAAAAGAAGGAACAGGGAGGAAAAAGACCAGGCUCUCAAGAGGAGGGAAGCAGAGGACUGUCUUGAGGAGCUGAAGGUUAAGAGGAGACGUGUACAGGAGGUAUCUGAGGGUCUGGCUAGGGAUGCGGACAAGAUGGCUGAGGAGGCUGAAGCGAAGGCAGGGAGCAAGAUGGCUGGCCUGAUCACCAGGUCAAACAUCUUGCGGAGAGGCCAUAAGGAGAAGUUGGCAGAACUGGCUCUCCUUGAUAAAGAGAUCGCUGCUAAGAGUGCAGAGCUUAGGAGUUGACUGUGUGAUGGUGAUCAUAAUUUUAUUUAUUGUUGAGUUGAUUUUUAUUUUUCAGGAGUCUGUGCUGUUGGCGUAAGUACUCACCACUAUGCUGCAAUGUUCCAUCAUUCCAUAAUGCUUUACAGUCCACAUUUUCACAUUUGUUGAAAUAAAUGAACACAUUUUGAACAAACGUUGUCGGUAGGUCUGUGAAAUAGGCCGUGAAAUAGGUAUUAAUUUUUAUAUAAGUGGUCUUAAAAGGGACUUAAAAAGACUUGAAUUUGACUUGAACAAACCUGUAGGAACCCUGUAAUAAAAUAACCUCAAAC
ensembl:lncRNA